rnacentral:tRNA from 1 species
GGGAAUGUGGCUCAGUGACAGCGUGCCUGCCUAGCCAGCACAAGGCCCUAAGUUCAAAUCUCAGCAUUACCA